GUUCCUUUUUUUUUUUUUUUUCGUUCCCAAGUCACAUCCGGGUUUUGUUUGCGAAGCCAGAAAAGGAGGACACUAGCCUGCAGGAAAUAACGGCCCUUCUCCUCUCCAAGUUUCAAAAAUAUACAGCGUGUUACUUUUCCCCAGUUACAUGGGUGUUGUGGGAAAAGGCCCAGGAGGAGAACGAAACUGAGCUGUAAUCUCAGAAACACCCUCCACGUCUGUUGAUGUGUAUCCAUCCCGUCUGUUUAAUGCCUGAAACAUAGUGACACAUUGGGGGGUCAAGGGGGCAUUGGGAUGUGAAUAUUGUUUCCAAUCUGCAGGGCCAUUUUCGGACAUUAAUGAACUCUCUGCAACUUCCACAGCAGAGCUCUUACUCUUUCUUCAGGGGGAUGUUUUGUAAUGAUUUGGACGACACACGGAUGAUACUAGAGAAGACAGAAGAAGGAAUCUGAAAGUUCUUACCAGGAAGUGUUUCCCUAAUCCCCAUCAACCGCGGUUUGGGUGACUGUCCACACCAAGGGUUAGGAAUUCCUGGCUCCCGCAAACUUCCUGGAGGUCGGCAGUGGAUUCCCUCAGCUUGGGUUUCUCCGCUCUCUGGAAAGCAGUAUUCAUCUUGCUGCCAUUUUGUAAAGCCAGGAAAGGUUCUACCCCCUUGUCCUCAAUGAAUACACUGGAGGGACAGGAACAAUAAGCUACUUGGUCUCCGUGCAGUAAAAGGAGUCCAGAUACGGGAAUGUAAGGAAGAAUACGGGGCUGAAUAUCAAGAACUAGUCU